CUACUCCAUUCUUUCAAGCAUAGUUAUGAUGAAAUGCAGUCAUUUCUCUCCUUCUCCUUGGCAAAGUCAAUUCUGCACCAUUCCAAGGUGUCAUCUUCUAACCAGCCCACUGUUUUUCUCUAGAAGACUGCUUUUUUUUGUUUUUUGUUUUUUCUGCCAUCUCCCAAAUUCACACUUUCUAAAUGAUGUGAAGACCAUGGACAGCUAGUGAAGAAAGAAGGUCUUCCGUGACUAGACUUGUGCCUCAUCUCCUUACUUGUUCUAAUUCAACUUCUCUAACUCAACGAUACAGUGAAUGUGCAAGGCAGCUACGGUGCAGUGAAAGGAAGCUUGCUCUAGUUCUCUUAAUUGAAUUCCAAUUUUUCUAUUCAUUGGCAGGGUGACCUUGGCCUCCUGAUCUUGGGCAAGUUAAUUAAGCCCUCUUUACCUUUAUUUCCUCACUUACAAGAGGGAGUUGAUGAAAGCACCUGCCUCCAGGCAUUGUAGUGAGUUAAAAAAAUAAUUAAAAAUUGUGCAGUGGCCACUAGCAUUUGGUGACCAUGUGAAUGAACUUUUUAUUUGAUAAGAAGACAAAUACUUUUAUUUACCAAGGUGUCCUGGGAAUAUUUCCUGGCGAGAAAUCCCUGCUCCAAAGGGGAAAGUCAACUGCAUUCCAUACUCACUCUUCUGGAAAGGAUGAGCCACAUCACAAGAAGAAGGGGAAAGUGAAGGAAAAAGAUGAAGAGCAAGAAAAUUUCUGAGAAGUUUAGUGUAGAAUGGGCAUAUUUAGUGUAUGAUAGACAACCAUCUAUGGCCCCUUCGAGGUAACUUACUCUAAAAACACAUCAUGUUCAAGAUUUCUUGAGUUGGAAUUUUUGUUCGGUUAGUCAGUUUGGAGUUUUGGGAAAUGUGUGUUUGGGCAGAAGCAGUCCUCAGGGUAGCCAGGCUAUAUUCAUUCCUCUUCUUCCCCAAAUCAAUUUACUCCAAGUGUGAUAUCAUGAGUUACCAUUUACUGAGGGCUUCCUGUUUGCUGUUCUAGGUGAACAAACUUCAAAAUAGCAUGUCAGUAGGGAUAUAUGCUCUAGGGAAAGAACACUACUUGUGUUUUCAUGUCUAUGCCAUCAUUUGCCACCCUAAAGUUCCUGCUUAUGCUUCCUUUGGAAGGAUCUCCUAUUCGUCAUCUCCUCAACACUUCCAAACAAACUUCUAGUUUCAGUGGAAAUACACAUUCCUCUUCUGAAUGCUCAUCACUAUUGACCUUUUACGUCUCUUCUGGUCUACUCUCUUUUUUAACUUUAAUUUGAGUUCUGAUGUCUAUGUCUAAUAAUGUUUCAUGAGCUCCAUUAAACUAUGAACUUCAUGAUGUGCUUUCACAGUAAUGCUCAGCACAGUGCCUCACACAGAAUAUGCACUCAGUAAAUAUUUUUGGAAUUAACACAUUUAUUCCCAAUAAACUACAGUUAUCUUUCUCUUGUUCCCUUUUUCUGUCUCCCUUUAGUGAAGAAUAUAAGUGCGUAGAUGAGGUGUACCUAGAGACAUUAGCAUUUACCCUGACAAAAACAUUUAUUAUCAUUCUAAUUCUUAUUAUUUAAUGUUUAACAAGUUUUUACAUAGUAUUUCUUGCAAGUCAUAAAAGCAAAACAUUUCUCUUAACUCUGGCUAAGCCAUGUUGAAAGAAAAGAGGAUAGAUUAGGGGAUAAUAAGAGGAAAGCUCUUGAUAAUCCCUAAAAUAGUUGCCUGUCACUGUUGUCUAAAUGAAGAAUAAAUAUGCAAAAACACAGCAACUUGAGGUUUCUUCUGUGAAAAAUAAAGUUCCAACUUCCUCCCUUGUGGUAUUUAAUAUUGCUGAGACAUAUGACACAAAAUGAGAAACUUCAUAGUUGGUAAUCAUAUUUAAUAAUGGUUCUUAAUAUUAUCAGAGUUCUUUACACUUAUAGUUCACUUCGCACUCAUGGAUUGAUGGCCCAGAUGAGAAUAAAGGACACAAGAAGUUGGUUUAUCCAGAAGCUGAGCGCUAUAAUUGAAAUAAGAAACUGGCAUGGGUAUGCUUGAUGAAAACUCGUGGAUAAUGAAGUUCAAAAAAUUAAUUAAAGAAAUGUUGAAUAAGAAAGACAAGCAAGAAGAAAAAGUCACCAUUAAACUAUUACUCAGUGAUAAUUAUCUUUACAAUGUUGGUACAUUCUUUUCCAUUUUUAAUACUUAUAUUUUCUACAAAUACAAUCUCUAGGCAC
rnacentral:lncRNA from 10 species